UCAAUGUAUUCGGCUUCGAAAAUGGAAGAUCCUGAAAGAGUUCGGACAACAAUUUUUGAAGUCCAACAUUUUUGUUGGAACAAAAAAAUCCGAACGGCCAAGUCACAUUUCAUAAGUCAUUACUUAGAUUUGUGGCUAUAUUAUGGCCAAUUAUUCAAAUAUUCAACAGCGCGAUUCGAAAGGCAGCACGCUUCCUUGAAACAGCACUACAAACAGAGCAAGAAUUUCAGGAACGUUGCUAAAGCUUUGGCUCAACUACAUCAGGAGUCAUUGUUCAUAAAAAAAUUCUGGACUUCUGUCCAAGAAUUACCUUUCGAAUCGCCUAAUUUGGCAAAAACGCUCCAUCCGUUUUCAUUGGGACAUAACAUCGUCCGAGCUGUUAUGGGAGAUGGACGUUCAUUCAUCAAAGCCACGAGCUUUUACACUCAACAAGGUGCCAUCUUUGUUUCGGGACAAAUUUAUGAAGUUGAGUCCCAAACAGAUGAGUUCAUCUUUAGUAAGGCCGUGUGCAAAGGACCGAUGUCAAUUCCGGUCAAUGAACUGUCCCAUAACAAUGGGUUUCUUUUUGAACAUGAUGGAGAUUUUUUUAUAAAUUAUAUUAUAAAAAAAUAAAUCCAUCAUGUAUCAUAACCAUCAUCAAUCAAUCAUUAUAGC